UUAAUCAUGUUUUCGCUCGCUACUCUGGUUUAUAUAUAAAUGAAUACAAAUGAAUAUAAAUUCGACUUGGCUUUGUAUUCAUUUAUAUAUAAACCAGAGUGGCGAGCGAAAAGAUGAUAAA
rnacentral:miRNA from 1 species